CCCCGCCCCGCCCCGCCCCGGAGCCCCCUCUGAUCAAAGACGAGAUCAUCUUGAAUGCUUCGAGCUCCAAGUGGUAAAUGCUUGAUGGAUCUUAAUCAAUCAUCUUGCCAUGUGGGAAAUGGGAAAAAAGGGGGAAAGUUCUUUCAGUUCCAGCAAUAAUUUCUUAGCAGCCAUGAAGAGAGCUACAUUUAAAUGAUUAGUGAUCCUAGGGAAAGUGGCAGGGAAUUUAAUCAUGAAACAGAAACCAGGAUUGAAGAAGCACAUAACAGAGAAUUAGGGGGCAUGACCCUGCAGCUACUCCACCAGAACUUUCAUCGGGGAGCACGUUUCUGAUAUAAAUAAAGCCUCUUACAUACACAAAUCAACACCAUCCCAAGAAAUACGAGGACACCCUCUAUUGCCAGCUUAACCUAAGAUCCUGUGAAUUUCUUAACCUAAGAAAAUGAUCAUGGAUCGUUCUUUAGGUUUCCACAUAAUUUAUCUCCAAAUAAAUCAAUGAUCCUUCUCUA